GCGGGGGUCGCCAAGCCUGGUCAAAGGCGCAGGCUUCAGGAGCCUGUCCCGUAGGGGUUCGUGGGUUCAAAUCCCACCCCCCGCA
rnacentral:tRNA from 1 species